AUUGAACGCUGGCGGCAUGCCUUACACAUGCAAGUCGAACGGUAGCAGGUCUUCGGAUGCUGACGAGUGGCGAACGGGUGAGUAAUACAUCGGAACGUGCCCGAUCGUGGGGGAUAACGAAGCGAAAGCUUUGCUAAUACCGCAUAAGAUCUACGGAUGAAAGCAGGGGACAGCAAGGCCUUGCGCGAACGGAGCGGCCGAUGGCAGAGUAGGUAGUUGGGGGGAUAAAAGCUUACCAAGCCGACGAUCUGUAGCUGCUCUGAGAGGACGACCAGCCACACUGGGACUGAGACACGGACCAGACUCCUACGGGAGGCAGCAGUGGGGAAUUUUGGACAAUGGGCGAAAGCCUGAUCCAGCCAUGCCGCGUGCAGGAUGAAGGCCUUCGGGUUGUAAACUGCUUUUGUACGGAACGAAAAGACUCUUUCUAAUAAAGAGGGUCCAUGACGGUACCGUAAGAAUAAGCACCGGCUAACUACGUGCCAGCCGCCGCAGUAACAC
rnacentral:rRNA from 1 species